GUUGUUGGCUGCUCGUGUGGGCUCCACUCGGGUCAGAUAGGAGUGUGAUUGUGGUUGUGCCUCUGGAUCGGGGAUGCACAAACAGGACGCGCUUGGCCAAAGCAACAGAGGCCGAGAUAUUUAAUGCAAAUACUCACUAAAAAAACACAACAAGAGAGCAGAGAAGGCGGAGAAGCAACAAUAUUGUCCAAAAGCUAAUUACCAAACAAACGAAACUCGAUUGAAUCGAUUGAUUUUCCAUUCGUGUCCAGAUAAGCAACCAUUGCCCCGAUAAAGAUUUGUUAUCACUGAAAACAGAGGCGCAAUCGCAGUCACCCAUCCGCCCCACCCCUUUGCCACCAUGCGCAGUGGCGAGUCGACGGUGAUUGGAUUGUCGAGAGCUCCAUUGGCGAGUGGGAGGAGCUGCCCCUUCUGGUGAACCCCCAAUUGGUGGCCCCGAUGAGGGCCCCUCUCCGCUGGGGGUGGUGGGGCGGAUCGGCUCCCCAUUUGUGUGUGCUGAAGGAGCGCAGCCAUAUGCCAAAAAAUAUACAAAAAAACGUAGGAAAACACAGGAAAACUCCGAGCGAUAACACACAUUCCAGAGCCAUGUUCUGGGCGGAGCCAACCGUUUGGGACCUCGCCGUGCAAAUCAAGAUGUCCUGCGACCAUGGCCGACAGAAAACCACAUCAUACCAAUGCCAAUAAAAGCUCCAUUAGAGUUUUGCAACAGCGACCUCAACGCGUUUGGCUGCGGGUAAAGGUAAACGUUGUGCAAUAAGCGAUUUUAUUACCCAUCCAAUGGAAUAUUUUACCACCAUCGAGUGAGACUGUCAAAGUUCUCAAAGGAAGAGGCUGGAACAAAACGAUACAAAGAUGCCAGGUAUACGUGUCUUUCCGGAGGCAGAGCCUCGGAGUUGCUCCCCCGGGUAUUCGAGUGCGACAUAAUGAAUUACCUUUAUUGACAAGUUAAUGUUUAUAGGUGUACUGAGCCCCGAGCCGCAUAAGGAUGUUGUCAGGUUAAGCGUAGUUAAUGGCAGGUGGAUAGGCUGUUGAUGACGAUGAUCACGAUGGUGUCCCCAAGCGAUUCCCAUCGAUGUACUCUGUAUUUUUUGUGGAAUAAUUUAGUGGGCACAAAACACGAAGGAGCUGGAAACAAGACGCUGGGUACUUCGCAAUCAAUUGAAAUCAACGGCAACGGCGAUGUCCUGAUGAAUUAUUUAAGGACCAAUGUCAGAGUCGGCAAUCAAUUGGCGUUGACAUCGCGGUUGCCCCGCCCCCUAUAUCUUCUCCCGCCCCCCAAAAAGUGGGGGUUACUCUCAGGGAGACAGUAUUGGCAUUUUGUUACUGGCGUCUUGAUUAAUGGAAAAUAAGUUUAUAAUUAGCAGACAAAUGACUUUAAUUGGCCCCAUGGGGUGAGAGAAUCAUUUUAUUUUUUCUAUGGUUUCUUUCUAUGGUUAAGGGAUAAAGAUUCGGUUCAGACUCUAUUAGGAAGAUACCCAGAAAGUGAAGUCAAUUCAGUGGCGGAAAAUUGAAAAGGUAUAGCUCGGGGCCAGGACCGAGAACUUCUUUUCAUCAAAGUUUACAUCAAAGACGUUGAACUUCCUCGGAAAAUUGAGGGUGUGGUCUUUUCGCGUCUUCGGAGGCGGAGUUUCGAUGAAUUGCGGAUGAGAUGGUGGCGCUUCCUUGAGUGGUGGCAGAUACCUUGAAAUUCCUUUUCGCAUAAAUGUUUUCAGUACUUAGUAUUUACCUUGACUUGAUGGCGUUUCAAUAGUCUAGUUAAAAGAGCUAUAUUCCUGUGGUCCGCGUUAGGGCAUUAAAUUAAUUAACCCUUUCGGUUUGCGUGUUCAGCGGUUACGCUUCGUGAUUCUUCCCACCUCAUUCCUUUAGAAUGGAAAAGGUUCUGGUCAAGCGCCUGUUUGCUCAGCUCGGACAAAACGUAUUGCAUAUUUCUGGAAAAACGCACCGCGGGAAGUUGAGCGCCUGUACAGUGAAAAUAAAUGUUUAAGUUCGAAAAUUUUCGGAGUUACAUAAAAAUAAGUAUUACACAUUUCCGAAAUAGUGUAGUCUUUUGGAUAUAGAACCAUUUUAA